UACGUAGGGUGAGAGCGUUGUCCGGAAUUAUUGGGCGUAAAGAGCUUGUAGGCGGUUUGUCGCGUCUGCUGUGAAAAUCCGGGGCUCAACCCCGGACUUGCAGUGGGUACGGGCAGACUAGAGUGUGGUAGGGGAGACUGGAAUUCCUGGUGUAGCGGUGAAAUGCGCAGAUAUCAGGAGGAACACCGAUGGCGAAGGCAGGUCUCUGGGCCACUACUGACGCUGAGAAGCGAAAGCAUGGGGAGCGAACAGG
rnacentral:rRNA from 1 species